GGGCCCGCACAAGCGGAGGAACAUGUGGUUUAAUUCGAUGAUACGCGAGGAACCUUACCCGGGCUUGAAAUGCAUCUGACCGGGCCGGAAACGGUCUUUCCCAGCGAUGGGCAGAUGUGUAGGUGCUGCAUGGUUGUCGUCAGCUCGUGCCGUGAGGUGUCGGCUUAAGUGCCAUAACGAGCGCAACCCUCAUCGUCAGUUACCAUCGGGUAAAGCCGGGGACUCUGAGGAGACUGCCAUCGUAAGAUGCGAGGAAGGUGGGGAUGACGUCAAAUCAGCACGGCCCUUAUGUCCGGGGCGACACACGUGUUACAAUGGGCGGUACAGCGGGGAGCUACCCGGCGACGGGGAGCCGAUCCCGAAAGCCGCUCACAGUUCGGAUCGGAGUCUGCAACUCGACUCCGUGAAGGCGGAUUCGCUAGUAAUCGCGCAUCAGCCACGGCGCGGUGAAUACGUUCCCGGGCCUU
rnacentral:rRNA from 1 species